rnacentral:rRNA from 1 species
UACGGAGGGUGCAAACGUUGCUCGGAAUUAUUGGGCGUAAAGAGCUCGUAGGCGGUUUGUCGCGUCUGCCGUGAAAGUCCGGGCUCAACUCCGGAUCUGCGGUGGGUACGGCAGACUAGAGUGAUGUAGGGGAGACUGGAAUUCCUGGUGUAGCGGUGAAAUGCGCAGAUAUCAGGAAGAACACCCGUGGCGAAAGCGGCUCUCUGGAACGGUACUGACGCUGAGACGCGAAAGCGUGGGGAGCGAACAGG